CUCUCAAAACAAGUAGCCUUGACAUUGCACAUAAUAUAUCUAAGAAAGAGAUUAACUCAUGCAUACAAUGCUCAAUCUCCAUUGUUCUACCCUUUUCCCAAUCAUACAAUUACACAAUCUUUCCCAAAUGUCAAACCCAACUCACAUCUCUCACCAAAAGAUCCUAAGAACUUUAACUCCUUCUCUUUGAAAUCUACAAGGGAUUUUCCACAACCUCAAAACAUUACUUAGCUCCUAACAACUUUGCUAGCUCCCUUUUUUUUUUUUUUUUUUUUAGAUGGGGGCCAAGACUUUUCAUAACUUGAGCUAGAGGUUUUUCUUCUUAUCCCAAUAAGACAAUUCACUUAAACACAAAGAGUCAUUUCUUUUCCUUUUUCAUUGCUCCCAAAUCAUAAUCAAAACUCUCACCCCCCCCACCUAUAGCUAGACAAUAGAGUGUCCAAUCUAGCAAGAAUGAAGAUCAAGCAUUGUCGUUCCCGAUACUCUCAACAUUAUGCACAUGUAAGACUUUCCGAAGAAGACCUCA
rnacentral:lncRNA from 1 species